GGGUNNUAAUUUUUAAACCUAAAGAAUUUGGCGGUUUUUAAACUUACUAGAGGAACCUGUCCUGUAAUCGAUAGUCCACGAAUUAAGUCACCUAUCUUUGUUAUCAGCUUAUAUACCGCCGUUUAGUGAAUUAAAUAAAUAACUUCCCUUAAUUAAUUAGUUAAGAAAAUCAGGUCAAGGUGUAGUUAAUAGAUAGGAAGAGAUGGGUUACAAUAAUAUAUUAUAACGGAUUAUAGACCUUACGGUCUGUAUGAAGGUGGAUUUAGAAGUAAAUUUUAAUGAUUUGAAGCAAGCUCUUAAAAAUGUACA
rnacentral:rRNA from 1 species